CAAAAGGGGCCAUACUUUUUUUUCAUGUAUUUAAACAGUACUUCUGCUUUUCCAUCGCAGACCCCGAGCGGUUGCUGUUUUUAGCCUGUAGAGUCUCCUGUGAGAUCAGGCUCACCAUGCAGCAGAGUACAAAAGGUGCUUUCCUCAGGUAGUGCCUCCCCACACCCAACGCGCUGCUGGGAAUAUGCCCAUGGGCGUGGACAAAAACCCCAGAGUCCUUUCUUCGCUUCCACACCUCUGUUCUCACGAAGUCUCCUGCCCUCCUUACAGAUUCCGAGGCAGACCUGACAAGGGAGGAGACUGGCCUACAGUUGUGUACAGACGAGGAGUCCAGAAUUUGUUUCUUCAACCACGAGUGUAAACGGGACCCCCCUGAAGGACGUGGGCAUACUGCCACUGGACCAUGAGGCCCUGAUCAUGGAAGAGAUGAAUGGGAGCAUGCUGGGAAAGAUGGUGCCAUGAAGAGGAGACAGCGCACUUCCGGGUCCGGCUCUACCCUCUGACUCAGCCUGUUCUGCGGAAUCGAGCGGAUUUUCUGGCAGGCUGCUGCAGCCUCACGAUGUAUAGUCUGGCCCCGAUCGCAAAGAAAGCCGUGAGAGGACACAGCCACCGUUAAAAUGGAUGAAGUUCACAUGUCCACAAUGGCACCCGGUGUUUGGACAUGUGAACAGUGAGCUAAUGCCAGUCUUGGCCAGGGCUGAGGUGUGCCUGGAUAUAAAUUAAAGGUGACUGUCACCCCAGGCCUCGUUGGAGAAGCACAGAGGCUGAAUCCAAGCCAGUUGUUACACAGCUCUGAAGUGUUGCUGGAUUCAUUUAUCAAUCAUGAUAGAAAUGUCUUGCACCGGGGAAUUUCAACAAAAACCAUUUCUGGGAGGGGCAGUCACUAUUACUUUGCGUGGGGCUUCUGCCACAGUGAGGAAUCGAGUGGCUUUCAUCUUAGUACCCAGCGCUGAGCUGCCUUCUCUGCCCCCGGGGCUCAGAAGGCCCUCUCCCAGGACAUGCAGAGAAGGCCCCACGCUUCUGACUCCAGUGGAGCUUCAUUCCCAUCUCUGACGGGAAUUCAGAGGAAAUGUGAGGAAUCCAGUAAAACAUCACAGCACUGACUGUACACGUUACAUUUGUGAUUAACAUGAACAUCAAUAUUAUUGAAUAUUUUUCCAUCCAAUCUUUUAACUUGAAGUACAAUUUAUCAUUUUGAAGCUUCGGUUCAGGUUCCUGGUAGCAACUGCACUGGAUACGCUGCGGUUUCAGCCCUAAGAAAUGUUCCCAGAGAAGGAAUCACUGCCCAGCCUUGAUUUUCCAAUAACCACCUAGCCAAACUCCAUCAGCUAACAUAAGAAAGCACAGUAGUGUAUAUGAGCAUUCCAACAUCUAUCUAUUUCUGUUUCAAGCACCCCUUUUUUCUCUCACGCUUUAUUUUGUUUGAGCCUAUUGAAGUCUAUGUCCUGUCAUGACUCUAUUACCAUGCGUUUAGGUGCUUAGGAAGAUCGCUGCAAGAAGAGGCUGCCAUUCUUCGCUGCCUCAUUAUCAGUACUCUCACACUUCUGAAAUGGGUCCUUGCUAAUUAGUGUGCCUUUCAGCCUGUCACCGAUAGCAUUUCUCAUUAUGCGGACGAGUCCCCAGAGUAUUCGCGGCCAGAGGAAGUAUAAUUGCGCCAAAGAGUGACUGAGUGAAGGGGGCCAGAGUGAAAGAGGCCAGAGUCAAGUAGGCGACCAUGUGCAAACGUGCUCUGACAUGCAAACAUACGUGCACAUAAACUCGCUCUACUGAAAUCAACAAAUGACUUAAUGUGGUAAGCGCCAUGUAUUGAAAUCUAGACCUACCACAGCCAACCGCACACCAUAUGCGAACCACAGGAGUUUUAGCAUUUCUGGGAAAUUAAAAAACAGAAAUUUUGAUAUACAGCAUACAGACCAUCUUUGAGCCAUACAGUCUGUAGGAAAAAAAGGUGGAAAAAAAUGAGUGAAAAAUAAACAAAUACACUCGGUUGUGUUUCUGAAAUAAAUCCACCCAUGAACAAUUUUUCCUAUUUGGAAUUAUGUUGCUUCCUAUUGCCAAAAUCUGGACAUGAAACACAUCAAAUUUGUCAUUUUUUCUUCUAUACUUUCUACAGUGUCUCAUUAUAAUUGUCAUGUUCUGUUAUCGUCCCAGUUCUGUCAUGUUCUGUCCCUUGCUGACACUGAAUUAUUUUCUGUUUGUGGACACAGAAACUGAUCCACGUGGUUCUCCACUCCUCUCGGGGAAUGCAGAUUGAUUUCUUUACUUGUUUAUAUGUUCACCAAUUUUUUAUCGCCAUUUAUGCUAUUUUUGUAAAGGCAGGCCGGCCUCUAUUGCUGCAACGUCCUCUGUCAUUUCGACUGAGGACAGAUUAGCUUGCAUGUCCUCUGAACGGCAUGCAACCUAUUGUUUCUUCUCACUCUGCAGUCAACCAGCACACACAGUACACUUAUAUAUAUAUAUACAACUUAUAUACACAGUACACACACACACGUAUAUAUACACAGUAUGUAUAUAUAACUCAUUGAUACAGUACACGUAUAUAUACAUAUACAACUGGAAUAGGGAACCUGCAGGAGGGUUGUAGGUACCCUUUCAGCCUAAGGAGUCACUUUCGAAUGAUCAGGGAGAGGGAAACUGCCACUUGAAGCUCUUCCUCCAUGGGUCACAUGAUGGCUAAUUGUGACUAAAUAUAUAGGACCAUCAGGCACAGUGCUGGCAUACUUUGGACUUGAUGACUAAUUGGAGGUGUAUCACUUCACCAAGGACUAGAUCUUGAGGUUGACAUGCCCAGGUCAGUGUUUUUGCAUAGCAAAACAUACAGAACCGAAAGCACCAGUUAUGUUUAUAUUUUAAGUAUUAAAUCUCAUUCCCAUUGAGUUUCACCUUGAAGGCAUUCAGAAGCUCUGGUGUUCUUGAUGUGAUGCAUUUGGAUGAAAGAAUCUUUAUUUUAUGUGAUCUUUAAUGUUUAAUUGUACAUGAAUGCUCCUUUUUAAUUUCACACAAAUAGCAUGAAUACACAUUGUACUGUAUGUGAGUAUGCACACGCACAUAUGCACGUGUACACACACACACACACACACACACACACACACACAAUUGCACACAAACACAGUAUUCACUCUUUAAUGACACUGUGACUGUUUACCCUUAGAUACUGUGUUCACCAGUAACCAACAGCAUGCAUUAUUCACAACAAUCCCUCUGUGUAGCGUAAUAAUGGUUUACUGUCAAUAUUGCAGUCUUAGCUAAUUUACUGAAAGAUCAACAGUGACAAAUGAAAACACAAGCUUCUUACUGUAAUUUAUAUUGAAUGGAUAUCAUUGAAUUAUUGGUCUUCUGGAGAAAAUAUUGCCCUUGGCAUAAAAGUCUCCACAUCGUCUCUCAUUCAAAUUAGAAUUCAAUUUUACACUGGGGCUAUUGAUAGGAGAAUAGUGACAAAUUAACCAAUUACAAUAAUUGAAAGCAUAAUUUGAAGAAAGCAUUUCAUGAAAUGCAUCCAGUUUUUAUGUUAUGAGAGCACAUUUACAGUACUACAAUAGCUAAACCAUUUGAUAACCACAGCAAUUAAAACCCUGAAAUGUAAAAUUUAUAAUUAAUUUAUUAAAUAUGUUUUAUCAUUCAGAAAGCAGUUUUAAAAUAGUUAAACAGCCCUAAAAUGUGUUUGAGAGCAAGUACAUUAUGUUGUGAAGUAUUGCCAAGCUUUGGAGUUAUACUGAAAACAGUUUUAUCUGUCACUGAAUCAAAAAGUAUGUUUUGAUUCUUGUUGGUUGAAAUAAUUGGUUUAUUAAUUGGAUGUUACAGUUUUUUUGCAUGAUUUAAUUUGGUGUUCAUUCUUAUGAAGUGCUCAAAUUCAUGCCAUUUAAUUUUAAAUUACACAGAUUGUGUUGCUCAGAAAAGAUUUGCUCAUUCUGUUGCACAGAAAAAAAACCUCAAUGCCAAGUGAAUGCUUAAGUCAAAUGUAAAUAAAAGCUCAGAUUUGUAACUUUGGCAUUUUAUAAACCAUACUUUCAGUACAAUGCAACAGUAAACUUGUUAAUGUGCUAGAAGUCUCUACUCUGUGGUACUGUUUGUGCUUAAGAGAUCUGUACUCCACUGUGCUGUUGCUGAAACUUCCUGGUUACAUCCGUAUCCUGAUUUGACUUAUUUGACUAUUUAUGAUUUGACUUAUUUUAAAUUGUCUCUGAAAACAGACAUUGUGUAUAAACAUAUAGAAUGUCCCCCUUAGUUAUUACAUUUUAUGUCAUGCCGAUUAAUAGUCAUUUAUACAUUACUAGUGGCUAUUGAGUGGAAAAAGAACAAAUUAUUUAUAUUUUAAUGUAAGUUCCUGUUUAAACGACUAUGAUAAUAUACCAUAAUUCCCCUCAUGGUUAAUGAUCAAUUAUUAAUACAUUUAUCCAGGAAACUAAAACAUGCCUACUGAUAAUGAGUACAACACACACACCAGAAUGAGCAUAUCAUGUAUGUCUUUUUUUAAGGCAGAAGGCUUUGUUUUUGUUAUUCAUUUCAAACAAAGGAAAUUUACAAUAUGUGAAAAAAAUUUUUUAUCUGUGUUUAAACAUUUAACAGUGUUUAAUUCAUUGAGGAUAUGCUAAUGCUAUACAAAUGAUUCUAUGCAGAGGUGUAAACCCGGUAUGUGCAUAACAAGAAAGAUACUGACAAACAAUGAUAUUUUCAUGCAAAUGUUACAUGGGAGCUUUUGUGAUUAGCCCCAAGGCUAGUCACAAAUGAACACUUAAACUCAUUGCUUACCUUUUCAGCGCUACACAAGCUUAAACUGCAAAUGCACAGAGGCAUUAUUUUACAGGGAACAAAAUGAACAGCUCAUAAAUUAAUAGUUUUAACAAGUCAAGUGUUAAGAAGCUAAGAUAUGAAGCAGCCUGUCUGGCUCUGAUUCUUUCAAAUGAAUAAAUCUCAAAUAACAAAA